rnacentral:pre_miRNA from 1 species
UCUUAUGGAUGAGCAAAGAAAGUGGUUUCUUGAGAUGGAAUCUACUCUUGGUGAAGACGCUGUGAA